rnacentral:hammerhead_ribozyme from 1 species
AUCAAGCUGACGAGUCCCAAAUAGGACGAAACGCACAUCAAACUGGAU